CCAACCGGGAUUGCCUUAGUAACGGCGAGUGAAGCGGCAAAAGCUCAAAUUUGAAAUCUGGUACCUUCGGUGCCCGAGUUGUAAUUUGGAGAGGGCAACUUUGGGGCCGUUCCUUGUCUAUGUUCCUUGGAACAGGACGUCAUAGAGGGUGAGAAUCCCGUGUGGCGAGGAGUGCGGUUCUUUGUAAAGUGCCUUCGAAGAGUCGAGUUGUUUGGGAAUGCAGCUCUAAGUGGGUGGUAAAUUCCAUCUAAAGCUAAAUAUUGGCGAGAGACCGAUAGCGAACAAGUACAGUGAUGGAAAGAUGAAAAGAACUUUGAAAAGAGAGUGAAAAAGUACGUGAAAUUGUUGAAAGGGAAGGGCAUUUGAUCAGACAUGGUGUUUUGUGCCCUCUGCUCCUUGUGGGUAGGGGAAUCUCGCAUUUCACUGGGCCAGCAUCAGUUUUGGUGGCAGGAUAAAUCCAUAGGAAUGUAGCUUGCCUCGGUAAGUAUUAUAGCCUGUGGGAAUACUGCCAGCUGGGACUGAGGACUGCGACGUAAGUCAAGGAUGCUGGCAUAAUGGUUAUAUGCCGCCCGUCUUGAACAACGGGACCAA
rnacentral:rRNA from 1 species